GGUCCUAUAGUCUAGUGGUCAGGACGUCAGAUUGUAUGUUCACCGUUCUCAGUUCUUCACAGCUCCAUACUAAUUCGCAACAGUUGAUUAAUCAUCCUCCUUCUGAAGUCGCCAGUUCGAACCUGGCUAGGACCU